CCGCGUGAGUGAAGAAGGCCUUCGGGUUGUAAAGCUCUUUUGUCAGGGAAGAAACAGCAGCUCUAACACAGUCUGCGAAUGACGGUACCUGAAGAAUAAGCACCGGCUAACUACGUGCCAGCAGCCGCGGUAAUACGUAGGGUGCAAGCGUUAAUCGGAAUUACUGGGCGUAAAGCGUGCGCAGGCGGUUAUACAAGACAGGCGUGAAAUCCCCGGGCUUAACCUGGGAAUGGCGUCUGUGACUGUAUGACUAGAGUGUGUCAGAGGGGGGUAGAAUUCCACGUGUAGCAGUGAAAUGCGUAGAUAUGUGGAGGAAUACCAAUGGCGAAGGCAGCCCCCUGGGAUAACACUGACGCUCAUGCACGAAAGCGUGGGGAGCAAACAGGAUUAGAUACCCUGGUAGUCCACGCCCUAAACAUGCCGACUAGUUGUUGGGAAUUUACAUUCUCAGUAACGUACUUACGCGUG
rnacentral:rRNA from 1 species